UGCCAGGGACAGGGCUCUGGGCCCAGACCUCGCUCUUGCCGCCUUCCUUUCUUCCUGUGCCUUGGGUCCGGGGAAAGUACUCGCUGUGUGACCCUUAGCAAGUGUGCACACCUCUCUGAGCUUCAGCGGCCUCUAGCAAAAUGGUGGAGCUCGUACCAGGCUGUGCGCCACUGGAUAACAGACAAGCGUGUCUGGCUCCACAUGGCAGAACAUGACCACCGUACAACGCCAGAACUCACAUGGGAUCAUCUCAGCAACCCUCAAGGCUGACUCAACUGUCUCCUGGUUCUGAUUCUGAGUUUCUAGAAGAGAGAAGCAAAUCGGCCCUGUUUGGAGUUCCCUCUCCUCAACUGAUGUACCCUGAAAGAGGAUCUGAUUGUGAUAAUUCAGUGUGGCUUUGUUUGGGUUGUUGUCGAAUUUGGUGGUAUACAGCCUGAAAGAGAUCAGCAUCCUCUCUCAAUAAGUAUUUUGCAUUCCUAACUCCACUGGCGUGUGCUUCCAGAAGGAUCAAAAUUGGCAAAGGAGGUAAAAUGGAUUUAUUUACUGGAUCACUUGAUGCCCAGCUGUCAAGGAAGACCCCAUCCCCAGAGAUAUAUGGGGCACGAUAGUCCCUGGCACAAGGAGGUGGCUCAGUUGCUUAAACAUUGAUAACAACUGGAAGAGGUUUCAGUGGAGGCACCACCCUGGCCAUGAGGAAAGAAGAUGAGAAGAAUUUAUUGAAGAAUUUAAUGAAGAGUUCACCAUUCAGCUUUUGGGUGCAGUAAGGUGACAGCUUCCAUCUGCAGAGCCUUCAGGCCAAGGUUGUGUUUUCUGGGCAGCUCCCAGCCAAAGAGAAGCUUGAGGACCCUAGGAUCUGGCCAUUUCUGCCCAAUAUGGAACUCUUCUAAUGGGCAGACUUUGCUUAGAAGCUCCCCAUCGAGUUGGCUGGAUUUGUCAGUUUUGCAUCACAAUCUGGGAGGAGCCUGAGCAACUUUUGGGACCUGAGGUCACACCAGAUACUCUGAGCUUUCCGGGUCCAUUUGAUGGAUCUGGAAAGUGAGAGGAUCAGUCACAGACCCCAUUGGAAAGCCACAUCUUCCCCCUAGAUGGCUUCUGGAAGUUGAAGGUGCACAGGCCUUAGGCUCAAACAUAUCUGGGUUCUAAUCUCAGCUUCUCCGCUGGCUGGUGGUGGAGCUUUGGUCUCUGUGCUUCUUGAAAAAGCCCCAUCUUUAUCAUCUCUCUGAUUCCUCUCUCUUUCUCUUCCACUUUCCCUCCACAUCACAUGCCCAGCCAGAAUCCUCCUGGGGCAGAUUUGCUGCUAGGAGCUGCCAAUGAGCUCUUGAGGAAAAGUCUAUUCCCAAGACCACCCACCCUCUCCUCAACCCCUCCUUCCUUCCCCAGAAUAUGCAGCUCCUUCAAUUUUUUUUAACCAGUGACACAAUAUAUCUAAUUUGUGUUUAUGUUUCAUAAUACGUUGCAAAAUAUAAACAUUCAAAAUAGGUGUAAAUAAGUUGUUUUAGAGAAAGUCUUGAAUAAGG